rnacentral:rRNA from 1 species
AUUGAACGCUGGCGGCAUGCCUUACACAUGCAAGUCGAACGGUAACAGGUCUUCGGAUGCUGACGAGUGGCGAACGGGUGAGUAAUACAUCGGAACGUGCCCGAUCGUGGGGGAUAACGGAGCGAAAGCUUUGCUAAUACCGCAUACGAUCUACGGAUGAAAGCAGGGGACCGCAAGGCCUUGCGCGGACGGAGCGGCCGAUGGCAGAUUAGGUAGUUGGUGGGAUAAAAGCUUACCAAGCCGACGAUCUGUAGCUGGUCUGAGAGGACGACCAGCCACACUGGGACUGAGACACGGCCCAGACUCCUACGGGAGGCAGCAGUGGGGAAUUUUGGACAAUGGGCGAAAGCCUGAUCCAUCCAUGCCGCGUGCAGGAUGAAGGCCUUCGGGUUGUAAACUGCUUUUGUACGGAACGAAAAGACUCUUUCUAAUAAAGAGGGUCCAUGACGGUACCGUAAGAAUAAGCACCGGCUAACUACGUG